GACGAACGCUGGCGGCGUGCUUAACACAUGCAAGUCGAACGGAAAGGCCCUGCUUUUGUGGGGUGCUCGAGUGGCGAACGGGUGAGUAACACGCGAGUAACCUGCCCUUGACUUUGGGAUAACUUCAGGAAACUGGGGCUAAUACCGGAUAGGAGCUCCUGCUGCAUGGUGGGGGUUGGACAGUUUCGGCGGUUGUGGAUGGACUCGCGGCUUAUCGGCUUGUUUGUGAGGUAGUGGAUUACCCAGGCUUCGACGGGUAGCAGGCCUGAGAGGGGGACCGGCCACAUGAGGACUGAGGUACGGCCCAGACGGCUACGGGAGGCAGCAGUGGGGAAUAUUGCACAGUGGGCGGAAGCCUGAGGCAGCAACGCCGCGUGCGGGAUGACGGCCUUCUGGUUGUAAACCGCUGUCGCCUGUGACGAAGAGGGAGUGACGGUAAUGGGUAAAGAAGCACCGGCUAACUACGUG
rnacentral:rRNA from 1 species